GGCCGCGCCCAGACCCGGAGGCGGGGCCGUCACGUGGGGCAGCGUGGGCCGCUGCCUUGGAAACGCAGAGCGCGCGCUCCAGGGUCUUUUUGGAGUUCCUGAGCUCAGUGCCCCAGAAGGCACAUACUUCAUAUGAAAUAUGAAGGAUUUCAUACUGCACAAGAAAAAGCCUUGAGAAAGACAGAAUUGCUUGUGGACCGUGCGUGUUCCACCCCACCUGGGCCCCAGACCGUGCUGAUCCUUGAUGAGCUCUCGGAUUCCUUGUGCAGAGUGACCGACUUGUUUCGAAAUGACCAGGCUGGCAGUUGGCUGAGCCAGUCUCUUAGAACCCUUUGAAGCACUGGAUGCAGGCUGAUGAGCUGCCAUAAACGUCUUUGAGUCCCAACACUGCUCAGGAACUGCAUAUCAUACCAAAGUCUGCCUGUGUGAUCCUUUAAUUUGUGAAUGUAAAAACUGAGGUGGGAGGCAAAUACUGAUGUUCUCAAAGACCCGUCUCAGCUAUUCCAUUCAAACAGAGCCCAGAAUCUUCAAAAUUCUGCUUCUUCAGCUUACCUCCUGUCUCAGGCUGGUUCCCCAGAAGCAUCCCAGAGAUGCAGAUUUGUGAGAAAGUGAUGUGUUGGGCAGUGUCCCCUGCAGGGAAGUGAGGAUGCAAGACAGUGAGAAGGAAGCCAAGCAAGAGUGCAAUGUCAAGCAAGGUCCCGUGCUUGCAGGGCACUGGCUCCUCCCACAGAGGAGAUUUGGAGACUGAGAGCCCCUCCCUCCAUUGGUCAAGGGCCAUCUCAGAGGGAUGCAUGUUUCUAGGUAUCCCCCACUCUCUCUGCACACAGGUAAAGGAGACUCCAGAAGCAUGAGGGCAGCCCUCUCACAAAGAAGCAUGGGUUCUGGAUACCGAGAGUAAAAGCAAACGUGGAGCCAAGGGGUGUGAAAAUGGGAAAGGGACCCAAGGAAAUAGAGUAGUGCAUCCACCAUGAGUAAGUGCCACAGUCACUGGGUCAGCACCUGCUGUGUCCAACACCAUGCUAAGUAUCGUGGAGAGGAGAGAAGUUACUAGACUUCCCUGCUGUCAUCCUUAAUGGACUAUUGUCUCUUCCCUAGACACCUCAAACUGGGAUUUAAGGUACAUAAGCUCUCAGAAAUGGCUUCCUGGAAUUAUGGCCAUGAACAUCAGUGAACUGUUAGGGUCCGUAGUUACAUCUGGAAAAUGACUGCCGUUUCAAUACACAGGAUUAGUUACAAUAACAGCAACAGCCAUAAUAAUAAUGUGGCAGAGACUAGCUUGAUGCUCAUCACAUCUCUACCUGGGCACAUAGCAAAGUUUUCUAUUCCAGCUCCCACCCUGGAUCUCGGGUCCUAGUUCUCAACAACGAAAUGCUUCCAAGCCAAGUUAAAGCAGCCACAACUUUCAAACGAAAACCUAAAGAUCCUGUGUUGAAGACAGUGGCACCUUAAAAUGCAAGGGCAGUAUCCUUGAGUCCUCAGGUCACCAGAAAGCCACCCGAUCAGGACCAUCGACACUAGACUCUGUGUUAGUGAGAAACAAACUUGUGUUAAGCCAUCAUGAUUUUAAAGUUGUUAGCAGUCAGCUUGCUCCAAUAGGAUGAACACUAAUAAACAUAGCGGUAACAACCUGCUGGGUAGUAUCAUUAUUCUCACUUUGUUGGUGAGGAACUUGAGGCCCAAAAUGGUCAGAAAGUUAGCAGAUGGCAGAGCUGGUAUUUCAAGUCUAUUUUUUAAUCCCUAUCUUGCACUCCUUGGUCACGUAAACCUUGUGUGAAUAUGUUUGAUGCUUUAAUGGAGCAAAGAGGAGAAUAUUAAAAUACCAGGUUUCUUGGGUGGGAUGUGGAGUGAGGAGGAAGAACACAAAACGGAAAGGCUCCACGCAUCAGAAGCCAAGCUUUGGGCACUCCACAGUUUUGCUAAAGACUUCCCUGUCUGCUCACAUCUGGUCUGUUCCCCAGUAUCCUCACUGUAUUAAAGUUGUUUCUUUGUCAUAUUUUGCUCUUUUUUCUGGUGUGAUUCUAUCAAUUACUUGCUACCAAGGAGAAGAAAUGAGAUGAUCAAAGGGGCAUCCCCCAAAUCCCCAAGGCUGUGCCCCUCAAGUUCAAGAAGAGAAAGCAGAGAACUCUUGUUUAACAUGGACGUGUUAGUCGCUGUCCCCUCUGCCAUCCCCCAACUUCGUUGUUCAUAGAACUCUGAUUUUGUUCAUCUUAUUCCAAGUUACCAAGUCCUUUAGGGAAGGCUAGGCUGCCCUCUUACCCAGGACUGAGAGUUCAUGGUUGAAGCUAGAGAGGACGGAGUGAUUUCCCCUGCUAAACAAUUGGUUCAGGCAUGUGACGCAAUUGGGCCAAUGGAGCUAAAAAAGGAAAUCUGCUGAUGGGGCUUCUGGGAAGGUUUCUCUUGGAAAAAAAAAGAAAAAGCCACAAGAUAAAAAUGUUUGCUUUUCUGCCUCUGGACUUGGGCUCUGUGUGUUGUUCCUGGAACCAAAGCACCUUGGGUCCAUUAAGACAGCAGCCUAUGAGGAUAAACCAGAACACUGGGGAUGGCAGGGUAGAAACAUCGAAAUAACCUGGAUCUUUAAGACACUGGUGAGCUGGUGAAUUAAUCAACCCUGGAACUGCCAUCCCCCCGGACUUCUUCUUAUGUGAGAUAACAAACCAUCUAAUUGUUCCAAUUAUGAUGAAUUAGGGUUUCUAUUACUUGCAGCCAAAUGCAUUCCAAAUGACUCAACUGAUAUUUUGUUCCAUGUUCUUUGAGAAGAGCAGAGAAAGAGUUUCUGACUACCACAACCCCUUUCUUAGUGGCUCAGUCAGCUUUCUAAGUAGAUUCUUAGUUUAUACUCUUUCCCACUUCUCUUACUCAUGAUUCCACUAAUCUUAAACCCCACAUGUUAGAGAGAGGCUCUGCUGAAUUCCAGCGUAACAAAUUCUCGCUUUUACCCUCCUCCCCUCAUUGGCCACCUGCCUGUUCUUAUGGUUGUAAGCAGGAGAAAGAUGUUGAAAACCAUGAGUCCUGACAGUGCUUAGUCAAGUGAUGGCAAAUGUUUUCUUGGGUUUCCAUAUGUGAGUAAUUGAAAAAAAAAAAGGGGGAAAAAGGCUCAUUUUUACUAACAUUAAUUAAUUCACACAAGGUCACAUUUUACAUCAUUUUAAUUAACUUUCAUUGAAUUCAUGUUCAAAAUGAGAGGCAAAAAAAUGUUCACUAAUAUAAGUCAUGAGGACCCUAGGAAUAAUAGCAUCGCAUAGAAAAUUGGAAGGAAAAUUUUUUCCUUCUCAUCGGAUGCAUGGUGGGGUUUGUGAAUUCCUAACUUUUCUCCCACAUAUCCCCCUCACGGAUGAUAGGAAGAAAUAGACUUGAAGGCAUUAACUCUUUCUGGAAGCCUUUCCCAAUACUUCUCACCCCUGCCUGUCUUCCUCCUCAGCCACUGGUUAGGUCCCCCAUCCCUGUUAACACCCUGAAAACUUCCAUCUCACAGCCACUACAUUAUCUUAAAAUUAACUAUUUACUUCUUCAUUUCUCCCACAAUACUGUGAGCUCCCUGAGGGGAAGAACUUGUGCUAUUUAUCUGUCUUCUAGCAUGAUACCUGGCAUAUAUUAGGUGCUUAAGUUUAUUGAAUGAAUGAAAGCCAAGAAUACUUUUCCUUGGUUUCAUUUUAAUUUCACUAAGGAUAAUUAUGUUUAUAUUGCUAUAUUACAUCGUGUAAAAUGGAAAUUAAAGGGAAAUUCCUUUAAUAGUAGCACCAAAGGGCUGCAUAUGGCAGGGUAGGUGACAGACCACAGCUGGUGGCUGGGCCACUCUCUGAAACGUGGACUUAGGAUUUGAGGGCUAGUCCUUGUGCCUCACACCUAGGAUAACAGAGAAGUCCUAAAGUAUGCCUGGUAGCACAUCUGCACUCUUCUGGGUGGCUUCCAGAGAUACUUUUGUUCCAUGUUUUGGCUUUUACGACGGUCCCCAAAUUAAGCAAAGGCAUUUUUCUUAGCUGAGCUAACAAUGAUUCUCUAGAUACUUGCUUAUCUAACUUGUAAAUCCCCUGCCACUCAUUUGUUAUUUGUCAGCAAUCCCCUAUCAGAUGAAAUUUCAUCCCACUCGUGCUGUUGAG
rnacentral:lncRNA from 1 species